rnacentral:rRNA from 1 species
AGUGAACGCUGGCGGCGUGCCUAACACAUGCAAGUCGAAGGAAGUGCCGCACGGGUGUGUAUAAUAUAGCUAAUCCGCCCCUUGCUGGAGGACAAAAGUUAGAAAUGAAUGCUAAUACUCAAUAGCAAGGGAUGUGACGAUAACGUAUCAGCUAGGCGGUGGGGUAACGGCCUACCGAGGCGCGGCCGCGUCACUGGUAUGAUAGGAUGAUCAGUCACAUUGGAACGGAGACACGGUCCAAACUCCUACGGGAGGCAGCAGUAGGGAAUAGUGCGCAAGGGGGGAGACCCUGACGGAGCAACGCGGCGUGGAGGAUGACACUUUUCGGAGAGGAAACUCCUGUUGUUAGGGAAGCGUUACCUAACGAAUAAGCACCGGCUAACUCCGUGCCAGCAGCCGCGGUAAUUC